CCUUCUCACCCACCCUCCCAUCACCCCUCCCCAACACCCCAUUCUCAGAAGAAGGUCCAUCCAGGGCUUGCUCCCAGGUCUCUCAGUCCAGUGCCAUCUCACAUGGGUUAAGAUGGGUCGUGAGAGCAGCUGAAUAGACACGGCUGAACUCUUGGAAGCGGGGAGCACAGCCCAGCCAAGCUUCGCCAAAUCGGCUCCAGCCCAUGAAGAGGAAGGAGCCUGGGCCAGGACGCACACCACAGCGCAGCAAGGUACGAAUGGAGGCCCGGCCUUGGCUCUCUGAGCUCCCUUCCUUGAACAGUGGCAGUGUCUGGCGGAUGACACGAGCAACCACCACGGUGAUGACUGAUUCUUGCAGCUCUGUGUCAUGGGCGACCCCAUGGAUGGUCCCGUGGAUCACUACGAGGAGACAUGGUGGCCAGUGGUGGGCACGUGGGAAUGUGGGGCAGACCCUAAGCUCUCCCGCAACAGAAACACUCACCAAAGUCACUGGUGCAUGCAGCCAGGAGGAGCUCGGCAUCACUGCAGGGCCUGCAGGCACCUAGCAUGCAAGGCAGGUCAUUAGCCAGGCCUGUGAUCUCUCAGCACGAGCCCACAGCUCCUCCCAAGAGGAAAAGGUACAGGAGCAAGCAGCUAAACCCUUCUCCCAGCAUCCUAUAGCCUGAAGACACCCUGCAGGUACAUGCCUACUUAUGGGCACCUCAGUGCCUCAUACACAGGCUUGGUAUCAUCUCAUAAACUCAGACCAACACUGGGAAACGUUCUGUGACUUCCCAGCUCUAGCUAGGGAUAUUCUAGUGGACUCCAGUUCGGGGGGUCUCUAGCUAGGGCAGAACAGUCAGAGAGCCAUUCAUUCCCUGCAGGGUCAGGCUACCAAGUUCCAGAAGAGCAAAGCACUGGGCCUGGUGCCCUGCAGGGAGGCAGGGCAGGCAGUCUCCAUGGUGACGAAGAGGCACACUGGACUUUUGUUGGCUGGGCUUGGGGGGAGGGGAAGGAGGUCACCACCAGGCCAGGGAGCCCUGGACAGCCUUGGCCAUAGGCUUUGAUUCUGCCUCAGCCUAACCCUUCCCCCAAUCCUCCAGAAACCAGAGACCCAGGGCUGGCCUCUCGGGCAUUUGCCCCCUCCUGCUCUUUUCCUAAACUGAACCUUUUAAGAGGAGGAGGAGAGAAAGGCGGGAGCACUUCCAACUCACCUCCCUAUGACCUGGAAGCCACUAUGCUCUCCACCGGAGUGGCCUCUGUCAAGCUACAGAAGGACUCUCCGUGCAAUGGGGUGGCAAGGCCCAGUGCCAUCAGGCCAGUGUGGAGGGCCAAUUUCUGACACCCAGCUCCUCCCCAGCCAGUCUCAUAAUCACUCACCAUCCACACCAAGACCUUGAGCCUGGGGAGACAUUUCUGCACGUUGGUCCUCGUGCAGUUCAAAACGGAAGGCAGCAACUCUGCGGCUGAUGUCGCGGUGUGGUGUGGCCUGCAGGAAAAGGGCUCGGCGCUCGCGGGGACCCCAGCGCAUGCAGCGGCCCCCAGCCAGGUCCCGGCCCUCGGCCAGUAGCAACUCUAGGUUGCCGGUCAUACGUUCAGCGAAGACCUGGGCACCAGCGAAGGGCCGCUCUGGGCGCAGACAGACGAUGCUGGGCCGUGUGCCCGGAUCGGGGCCGCCCAGGGUCAGGCGCAGCGCCCCAGCUGGGUACAGCCACUCGAUAGCGCCCUCAGUACAGUCCAGGGUCAGCUGCCCCACGCUGCCAGGCUCCUGGGUCAAACCGCUGGGGACAGGACGGUGGUUCUCAGGUGGGUGGCCCUCAUUCCCUAGCCCGCUCAUCCCUUUUCCCGCGGCUACCAACAUCUGCGUCUACUCUGUGGAACAGGACAGUGAAGUCUGCGCUUCCUCAGUUCCAAGUGGGAGGGUGGGUGAGAAGG
rnacentral:lncRNA from 1 species